rnacentral:rRNA from 1 species
UACGGGGGGAGCAAGCGUUGUCCGGAAUCAUUGGGCGUAAAGAGCGUGUAGGCGGUCCGGUAAGUCCGCUGUGAAAGUCGGGGGCUCAACCCUCGAAUGCCGGUGGAUACUGUCGGGCUAGAGUGCGGAAGAGGCGAGUGGAAUUCCUGGUGUAGCGGUGAAAUGCGCAGAUAUCAGGAGGAACACCUAUUGCGAAGGCAGCUCGCUGGGACGUAACUGACGCUGAGACGCGAAAGCGUGGGGAGCAAACAGG